UAAAGUUUCAGCAGCGGGUUUAGCACUGGAUCCGAAGCCUCUAGAAGGAUAACAAAGACUCUCCACACUCUACUCCUACUCAAUACGUCCCCGGCGUACAUAGCGGUAACAUGUCUCUCCAAAUAACUGAGCUUGGGUAUACGGGGAAACCCAACCCCUUGGGAGGAUGGGUGAUAUGGCUAAAUUGAGAGGA
rnacentral:ribozyme from 1 species